rnacentral:lncRNA from 1 species
CGUUCAUGAAAAGUUAGUUAAUGUGGGAUACGGUAGCCUUUGGAUGUAACAUGAGGGGUUGGGUGACAGACGAUGUUCCAAUUGCUGGAAGGUUUUACAUCUGAGAGUAGAGCCUCUGAUCUCAACCUUUGAUCUCAAUUGCAUUUGGAGUGGGGGACAAGGUCAGCAGAUGGCUUUAAAAGCUGAGCAGGUCGCUGCUGAGGGAGCCAGCAACCGGCAUUCCCAAGGGAAGGGAGCCCGAGUGGUGCCCGUCUCUGCCGAAGAGGGAACAGUCCCACUGGACAGUGGUUGGUUGAAUCUGAAUGACAUCUCUCAAAAGACAAUGGACUCUCAAAUAGAUGCAAAUUACACUGUGCUUUUCCUAAGAGGGACUGUGACAGGAGUUACCUCCAGAAGCCAUUCCCAAGGUGGGACACCGAGCCACCAGCUGGAUGGGGGACAGAACAGAAAGUGGAGACUUUGACUGAGAUUUUGACUGAGGUCCAUCCCUGAGCCUGGAGGCCAUGGGAGUAUUUUGAGGGUAUGUAUUUAAAAUCCAGGUGGAAGGGCUGGACAGGGUUAUUGGAGAGGGAAGGGUGAUCUUGGCUGUGUUAGAAUUGAACAGCAGAACCAUUAAUAGGCAGCAAAAAGUCCAAAGCUUUGAGAAUGGGGGAUCCUCUGUAUCUCUAAAUUAUUUAAUUAUGCUUUAAA